CAGAUUAGGUAGUUGGUGGGGUAAAAGCCUACCAAGCCGACGAUCUGUAGCUGGUCUGAGAGGACGACCAGCCACACUGGGACUGAGACACGGCCCAGACUCCUACGGGAGGCAGCAGUGGGGAAUUUUGGACAAUGGGCGCAAGCCUGAUCCAGCCAUGCCGCGUGCGGGAAGAAGGCCUUCGGGUUGUAAACCGCUUUUGUCAGGGAAGAAAUCUUUUGGGCUAACACCUCGGAAGGAUGACGGUACCUGAAGAAUAAGCACCGGCUAACUACGUGCCAGCAGCCGCGGUAAUACGUAGGGUGCAAGCGUUAAUCGGAAUUACUGGGCGUAAAGCGUGCGCAGGCGGUCUUGUAAGACAGAGGUGAAAUCCCCGGGCUUAACCUGGGAACUGCCUUUGUGACUGCAAGGCUUGAGUGCGGCAGAGGGGGAUGGAAUUCCGCGUGUAGCAGUGAAAUGCGUAGAUAUG
rnacentral:rRNA from 1 species